AUUGAACGCUGGCGGCAUGCCUUACACAUGCAAGUCGAACGGCAGCACGGGUGCUUGCACCUGGUGGCGAAUGGCGAACGGGUGAGUAAUACAUCGGAACAUGUCCUGUAGUGGGGGAUAGCCCGGCGAAAGCCGGAUUAAUACCGCAUACGAUCCACGGAUGAAAGCGGGGGACCUUCGGGCCUCGCGCUAUAGGGUUGGCCGAUGGCUGAUUAGCUAGUUGGUGGGGUAAAGGCCUACCAAGGCGACGCUCAGUAGCUGGUCUGAGAGGACGACCAGCCACACUGGGACUGAGACACGGCCCAGACUCCUACGGGAGGCAGCAGUGGGGAAUUUUGGACAAUGGGCGAAAGCCUGAUCCAGCAAUGCCGCGUGCGUGAAGAAGGCCUUCGGGUUGUAAAGCACUUUUGUCCGGAAAGAAAUCCUUGGCUCUAAUACAGUCGGGGGAUGACGGUACCGGAAGAAUAAGCACCGGCUAACUACGUG
rnacentral:rRNA from 1 species